GAUGAACGCUGGCGGCGUGCUUAACACAUGCAAGUCGAACGGAAAGGCCCAAGCUUGCUUGGGUACUCGAGUGGCGAACGGGUGAGUAACACGUGGGUGAUCUGCCCUGCACUUCGGGAUAAGCCUGGGAAACUGGGUCUAAUACCGGAUAGGACCACUUCUUGGAUGUUGUGGUGGAAAGUUUUUUCGGUGUGGGAUGAGCUCGCGGCCUAUCAGCUUGUUGGUGGGGUAAUGGCCUACCAAGGCGUCGACGGGUAGCCGGCCUGAGAGGGUGUACGUCCACAUUGGGACUGAGAUACGGCCCAGACUCCUACGGGAGGCAGCAGUGGGGAAUAUUGCACAAUGGGCGCAAGCCUGAUGCAGCGACGCCGCGUGGGGGAUGACGGCCUUCGGGUUGUAAACUCCUUUCGCUAGGAACGAAGCGUUUUGUGACGGUACCUGGAGAAGAAGCACCGGCUAACUACGU
rnacentral:rRNA from 1 species